AUCAUUGUACUGUUUCCCACUAUCCCUUUACUUUUCUGGACUUUUCAUUCCUCCCACUGCAACUUCAACCCUCAGUUCACCCAAACCUCAUUUUCAGCCCCGCGAUUCAAAAGAAUAGCAGAUUGCAAUUUCGCACAUGUUCACUGCAACACCACACCACAUUUUACCGUAACUCACAAUCUUCUCUGCCUAAAUUUCUCACAUUCACUCAAAAUUUGAGUUUCUUUGCAGAUAUUUGAACUAUUGUGCUAAACAGAUUGGUACAUGCAACUUUUGAGCUGGAGAUUCAGAGUAAUAUAAAUGAUUUGAUAGAUGGAAUUAGAGAAUUGAAACAUUAGAACUUGAGGGAAGAAUCAGCUGUCUUCUAACGAGAGAUCAAUGACAUGACUUUGAGGUUUGAUAGGAGAGACUUUGAGAUUGGUGACUGACGAUCCUGUCUUGUGGAUCUGUUGCUUCAAAUGCAAUCUACAACUUCGGUGACUCCAUUUAGUUUUUCUUCAUAUCUAACUUCUUUUUUUAAAAAAUUCUCUCUUGCAUGGAGAUGUUAAGAAGGCUUUUACAGGAAUAUGAGCCAUCCCCGAAUAUCCUGUUAGAGGAUUUAGAUUUAAUAACUCUUCAUACGCGUGUGGCUUCCUCUUUUAAUGUUCUUUGAAGGAAUUAAUUUUUGCAUGUUUUUUUAUUGCUGUUUUCUGAAUCCUAUUUUCCUUUAGGUUCUUCCUUUUUUUUUUAUUUGAUUGUGCUGAUGAAUAGCAAUUCAGGUUCUUCCUUUUUUAUUUGCAUAGACUGUUGUUUGCAGCUUGAUUCCAAUUUAGUGUGGCAUACCUGAUACCUUGAAACAGGUACUUUAGUACUUACCCCCAUGGUUGAUGAAUUGUCUAAGAAUGUAAGCACGUGUGUGCAAAAAUUACUUCUUCCUUUGUUCCUUGGUUGGUUACUGUCCCUUUUUGUUUCUUUACGUUUUUAUCACCAUGGUUUCCAUACCUUUUUCUUAGAAUGCUUUAAUGUUUCCUCUAGCUUUUAUCAUCCCUCAAGCUUUAAUUUUUUUUCUUCCAUUUUCCCAUUCAAUGAUCAUUUAUGCUCUCAAAUAGGAGUUUUAUUUCCAUUAUAGCAGAGUAGGAGAAUUUAACCAAAAUGGGGAAAUCUCUGUUUAUGGACAGUAGUAUAUAACAUUUUUGCAUUGGUAUGAGUUUAAGCAGUUAGAAAAAGGAAAUAUAUGGCAGGCAUUAUUCAAUUACUACCUAAUGGUGAAGGUCUCAAAUGAGGCUGUCGUGAUUUGCGCCACGGCGGCUGCAUUGGAGCCCCCUGUUUCACUAGGAGUGCAAGGUAGUGGAUCACAUGGAGGCUUUGGCGAAGAAUUUUAAGGAACAGUAUUGGACCCUAAUUAUGAAGCUGUCAAAUGUUCUUCUUGCUAUGGAGGAUGAGGUGCCUGCUGGUCUAGCAUCUAAAGUUAGUAACAACCUCAAGAUGCUGAAUUUCCUAUGUUCCCACAUCACUACCACUCAAAUAUUUCUUUUAACACUUAAUGACCGGGCCUUAAUGUUUUUCUUUAACUAUCCAACAUUGGUUUGGUAUUUUUGUUUUACAAGCUUAGUAAAUUUAUUAUUGAAUUUACAGAUUAUCUUUAUAAAGUGAAUUUAUA